GCCUUCUUGGCUCAGUUGGCUAGAGCGCAGGUCUCAUAGAAAUAUGACGCAUCCUUGGAUGUGGUAAUCCUGAGGUCGCAAGUUCGAGCCUUGCAGAGGGCA
rnacentral:tRNA from 1 species